AGGUGCGAUCAUACCGGCACUAAUGCACUGGAUCCCAUCAGAAGUCCGAAGUUAAGCGUGCUUGGGCGAGAAUAAUACUAAGAUGGGCCUUGUCAUAGGACUUU
rnacentral:rRNA from 1 species